AGAUCUAUCUGGGACAAACCCUCAGAGCCCCAGGUCUCAUCCUUGGGCUAAACAGUAGCAUACCACAGAAGUAUGGGGUUUUCCUAGAUGCAUCUGAUCUACCUUCUGGCGCCAUGAACUGCCCUUCGACCUGAAAAAGGCCAUCCUAUUUGCUAGGAGCAGGAGGACCAUUAGGUUUUCAUUAGAAGUCUGGCUUUCUCUGUAUUCCACCCUAUCUUGGUUUUUCCUUCUUUGUAAAGCAAAGCGUUCACCCAGCUGAUCAUCCAAGACGUCUACACAAGCCAGAAUGUCAUCCUUCCUAAAAUAGCAGCUCCUCAAAGCAAGGCAAUGGCAAUCCAGUGGCAGGUGUGCAAGUCAUAACAUCCUACCUGAGGGGUGGGAACCAACGGUCUGUGUCCUAGUGCUGUGCUUUUUCGCGCUCAUCAUCCUAUUUUUCAGAUAGAGUGUGUGCCUCCACUUGGCUGUUCCCUUUCCAGACCAUGAUGGGGAAAAGCCGUCCUGAGAGAAAGGUGAGGGGCAGCCAGAUGCCUGCUGGCCGAUGAGCUGGAAAGCCUGGUGAUGUCAGCAGCAUGGUUUGGUUUAACCGUGUGUGGUUUAACACACCUCAUGGCAAAGGGGUUGUUCCCCGGACUCUCUGUAACAACAGCUUUCCCUUGAGUGAAAAAUCCCAAGCAUGGAUUCCAUCUCUUAAAGGGUCACGUAGACUGUUUUGCAAAGGGCGUGUGGAUGUCCAUGGCCCUGAGUGACCGAGGGCUGCACCAGGGACUGAGUUAGGGGUUCUGUAUAUGAGCCCGGAUCGCACCUUAGGUGAGAGCCACAGCCACCUGGGGCCUGUGUGUCCACCCACUGGGACAGAGUCCCAGCGGUCAGUUUGCUCCAUGUUUCAGCUUCCCUUCAAGUCCCUGUGUGCCUUUAGCCUCCUUUGGCCUCAGGCAAUCACUCGAGUAUCUCCUGAGGUUGUGUAGCUGUCACCUGUGACAGGCUAGUUUUUCUUGUAGUUGUGCUCUUCCAAACUGGUACCAGAAACCACAAACCUAAAUAGUGAAAAGAACAAACAAAUAACUGAAGUUAAUGCAACCCUUUCAAAAAUAAUUAAAGACGUAAAUGGCAUUCCCCAGAGCCAUUGUCCGUAGGUAUUUAUGUCUCUGAGUACAAACCUCUCCAUGUAGGAAAGCUUCCUCCCCAGUGAUUUCGGGUGUGGCGUGUCCUUCUCAGGGUUUAAACCUGUGGGCACCACGGGACCUGCGGCUCAGAACUUCCAGCAGGCAGCCGUUGUGAGCUUCCACAUCUAGGGUCACAAACAUCACACAGCAGAAAGCGGUCGCCCCACCAUGUGUGAGUCAAACCCAGGUCAGGGAAAGGGAGGAAAAACGAGGUUACAGAUGCUCUCACAUCAGUGGGGAAAAUAUUCUGCAUCACUGUAAAGAGGAGCAUCUGGCAGUGGUGCUAAGGUCCGGGCUCCAUUGUGGAGCUGUGCAUACACUGUCUACAGCACCUAACUCGGGCUUUCUCCCAUGUGAAACAAAGGAUGCUCUUGAACUUCCCAGAGGUAUUUUGAAAAGCGUUCAAAUUUACAAAAAUGUUGCAAGAAUAAAAACUAAGAGAGUAUGGAACUCUCUUGCAGUGCAGUGGGUUAAGGAUCCAGCAGUAUCACUGCAGUGGCUCAGGUUGCUGCUGUGGUGCAGGUUCGAUCCCUGGCCUGGGAACUUUCAUAUGCUGUGGCUGCAGCCAAUUUUCUUUUUCUUUCUUUUUAAUUAAGAGUAUAAAGAACACCUCUAUAUUACUUACCUAGAUUUAUUUUGAGUCUUUUCCACAUUUACAUGUUUCUCUCUUUCUUCACUCACUAUAUUUUAUAUACAUAUACAUAUAUAGAUACACAUAGCACAUGUAUGAUUGUUUUCUGAAUCAGCUGAGAAUGAGCUGUCUGCAUUGCAACACUUUACCCUGAAGUACUUUGGUUUACAUUUCAUACAUCUAUACAGUACAGUUAUAAGCUGCAGGAAAACUAAUACUGAUAUAACACUUGAUCUAAUCUUUCAUUUUAUUUCCGUUUUGGUCAACUGUCUCAAUAUUGUCUUUUUUUAUCAUUUUUUUUCUUGCCAGUAUGGCGUCUAGUCUAGAAUGUCAUCCAUUCACUUAUUUUGUCCCUUUUAUUUAUUUUAAUCUGGGUCAUUUCCACUGUCUUUUUUUGUCUUUUAUGACACUGACAUUUUGGGAGAACAGGGCGCCUUUCAUCUUACUACCGAGUUUCUCAGCUGGGGUUUGCAUGUUUCUCCAAGAUUAUGUGCAGCUUGUGUUCUGGCUGUGACACGGCAUAGGUGAUGCUGAGGUCACUCAGGGUCGUCAGUCUGGAAAUGCCACAUACUCACACCAGAGACCUCUGGGUCGAAGAACGUUCUGAUUUCUCCAGCAGCGUGGUUUACAAUGUUACUUUAUAGAUAUUAGACCACACAAACCAAUAUUCCAUUCUUCAUCAAAAUGCCCCCCUUGAUUGAGAAUCAGUUGAUGAUUUUUCUUUUUGAGGAGUCUGUAUUUACCAGAUGUUUGAGAAAUGAUGGAUUUUCCAAAUGCUGGGAGUUCCCGUUGUGGCUCAGUGGUUAACGAAUCCGACUAGGAACCAUGAGGUGGCGGGUUCAAACCUUGGCCUUGCUCAGCAGGUUAAGGAUCCGGCGUUGCCGUGAGCUGUGGUGUAGGUUGCAGAUGCAGCUCGGAUCCCGCGUUGCUGUGGCUCUGGCGUAGGCCGGUGGCUACAGCUCCAAUUAGACCCCUAGCCUGGGCACCUCCAUAUGCCG
rnacentral:lncRNA from 1 species